CAUCACUUGGUAUUGACAGUUCUGGUCAGCAGUGGGGCCCUUAUCAAACAUGGGGCAGCGUCUAGAUCCUUCUCACAGAAGCCACUCCUGCUACCCAAGCCUUGCCACGUAAACCCACUACACACCUUUUGCUUGAAUGUAUUAGGGUUUUUUGCAUAUUGUCUUUAUUAUUACAGAAGUUACACUUAUUUUUUUUCAAUGAGUUCUAGAUGCACUUAGAUUGCUAGAAGCUUCCCAAGAUGGUGCUGGUUUUCAGCUUAUUUGCUUUGUUACUGUUGAAGUUAUUUCUCCUGUGAGUUGGCACCUAUGAACCAAAUAUUGCGUUACACUUUCAGAACAACCCCAGCAGAAUGCAUGUUUCUUGUCUGUGCCUAACUUUCCUUCAUUUUUAGUAGAGAGGCUUUGGAUCUAAAUAGUAAAUCACUUUUUACCUGCUGAAGAAGCUUCAUAUCAAGUUCUACUAAACAGAAGUUCUACUUGGAGCUGAGAGGAUGGGGAGCGAAGUUCAAAGACUAUAUUACCCCAAAUAAGCGUGUUUAUUUCCAUACCAGGUUGUUUUGAAGAGUAGAUUGUAACCAUACCUCGUCCCACUGAAGCAAAUGCAUCAAAAAUUAAUAACUUUGAUGAUACACAAGUGAGCUGGCUUGAAAAAAGCUGUUUUCCCAUAGGAAGCUUUGCUUUCAUUUCCCAUACACUUCCCAACCCUUCUCCAUUUCAGGAUAAUAAUCAGAGGUUGACAAAUAUAUCCCCCAACGUUGUUUCCAGAUGCAAAACACCUCUUAGUGAGCGUCUGUGGAUAUACAGCCUGUGCUUAGGCAAACACUACAGACCACAAAAUCUUAACGAGUUUGAAAUGAAAGCAGCCUGUGUUAAUUGUUUUUUUUUCCUGAGCAUUUGCCUGCAGUCUGUUAGACUAACUCUGAACAGAGUAGUGUUACUUAACACUGGAUCAGUUAAAGACAGCUUAAUUCUAAAUGGAGUUUUCUUGAAAAGCUGCAACUACAACAACAAAAAAGACAAUCCUUUAACACAAAACAUUGAAAGAUUUUAAAGUGUUCUUUCAUGACUUGUUUUAUGUAUUUUAUACUACUCAGUCACAUUAGAUUUUUUUCUGCCUUUUUCCCCCACAACAUAAAUAUUUGUGCUUACUGUUAAAUUUGUUUUCAUCUAUUAAUUUUCUUGCAGAUGUAAUGCUUUAUUUAAUGUAUUGCACACUCACUGGAAGAGAUGUGUAUACCCAUGCUCACGUUACUAAAAAAAAAAAAUUCUUUUUUUAAAAAGUUCUUGACAAGGCUGUCCGCUUGCUUGAAUUGUACAGAAUUGUCUAAAAUCAAUUCUUGAGAACUAACAGAUACCAGGAAAAAAGGUCUCAAUUGUUCACCUGAAUUCAUUCUGAAAGUUUUGCUACACUGCUAUUAUGUCAGUGCACUAGCUCCAACUGUCACUGUUCAGAAACUAUUUUUAACUUUCAUUAAUUUUAAAAGCAGUUUUAAAAGGUUUUUCAGUCCCCAACAGUGUUUGUUUUGAGAUAUGCAUACAUGUAUGUGCCUCAGAAAGAAAGCAGUAACUUUAGUCCCAGAAGUGUAUGAGAGACCUUGGGAGUACAGGGACAUGAAGGUGCUCUGCAACAGAUGAGACAUUUGUAAAGUAUCUAUUUUGUUUUGCUUUUGCUGGCUUUAUUUUUCACUGUGAAGUACUUGAAUUUAAGAUUAUGAUGUGGGGAAGAGGUGGUAGAAGGGGGUAUAUGGAUAAAGAGGAUUUCUUAACUACUUUAACUGAAAGGGCGUAGAUUGUCUUCAUAUUUGUGAGACUGCUACUUCUAAAUAACAUUCAGAAUACUUAGUAAUACUUUCACACUUUUAAUCUUUUACAUCACUUACAACAAGGAAUAUUUGUCACUUUUUUUCCCCAAAGUAUUGUUGCUCCACUCUUACUGUGAACUGAUAAGAAUAAGACUGACAAGCCCAAAAGAAAGAUGGAUUUUCAGUAAGGCAAUAAUAAAAGUCCAAUUGAUUGUGCCUUUUCCAUGUCUUUUCCCCAGUUUACAGUAUUCAUGGAAUAAAUAUUAAUUCAAAGCACAGCUUCCACAACAGCUUUAUUUUCAAUGUGUAGGAAAUAAGGAGAUAAAGAUACUUGGAGAAGUCUAGAAACCCCCCCUUAAUGAGUAAUUCUGGAUCUAAUGAAGCAGACUGUCUUGUUCAACAGUAAUGUUGUAAAAAAUACUUGUAAGAAACUUGUAACAUUAUCAAUUUUCAAAAUCCUGAAUACAAAUCAAACAUUAUACACAAUUGGAAAGAAAUGCUUCUCUUGUCUUAAUUGAAACCUUUUAUUUGUUACCUGUAUUCUUUUUUUUUUUCUAUCUUCUGUAGUAAUAUUCCUAUUUGAUAUAGGUUUUAACAUCUGCAUGAAUACAUCCCACUUACAGAUUGAUGUCUAUCUUUUAGUGAUUCUUGGGAGGGGGAAACGAGGAGGUGAUGAGUCAGUGCUCAGGAAACCUCAAAAUUCUUCCCAGAGAACUGCAGCACUGGCACAGCUGCACAGCAUGAUCCUUGACCAUAAGCUAGCACAAGGAGACCUGAGAAGCAGUUGAUUUCUUGAUAUGCUUCUAAGGCUGCUAUGUGUAGAGAGUUGAUUGUUGUUCGCUUUCUCCCUCAAUAAUUUAUUGCUUUUGGAAAGUUAGUUUCCUGGAUAGAGCAUCACUUCAGAGAAGCAGUUCUGCCUGUGCUUAAAGCAGUACCUCUUGGGAUUUUGCACCAGAAACAAAUAUGAGAUAAGCUAUCUGAUAAAAGCGUAUUUGUAUCAAUCUAUCUAAUAGGUUAAGGUAGGAGUUCAAAAGUAGGGUUUCACUCAGCAUGCUUACAGCCUUUACUGGCAUCAGUCCAGAUUCAGAAGCAGCAAAGCUGCAACCUGGCCAGCAUGGAGGAAACUGGUUGCAUCAUGGGCAGGCAGCACUUUGAUCCUCACUGAGUUUAAAAUCCCAGGUGUGAGAGCAUUGUGGCCUUUCAAAGGAAGGGUCACAAGCAUGAAGCAAUAUGUGUGAGAAGUUGGGGCAGAAAGUGUUAAGUAUAAGCUACUAAAAGCUAAUUUUAACACUUAGAAGAAUUUGGAGUAGUGGUGAAUGCAGUGAGUGGGUGCACAAUGCAAUGCUGAAAUUCUGGCACAGCCAAUGUAGAGACUAACCUCUGAGUCGCUUCCGCAAGCUCAAGGGAUCAUGAGAUAUAUAAAGCAAGUUGGUCAUUCUUUAAAACGCGCACCACAUAAAGUGGGGCAGGCAGUCAAGGUCCUAAUACCUAAAACAUUUUGCCUUAAAAUUUCCAGAUUCAUGUUGCCUCAGACUUUGCUGUGCCACCAUGAACUAUAAUAGAGAUCUUGAUAGCAUUACUUGCAACAAGAGAAAAUUCUUACUUGUACUUGUGCAGCUGUAUGCUUUAAUGUGUAUGAGUGUUUUGGCCACACGAGGUAGGAACUCUUGGUUCUCUUUGCCUGUGCCCUCAUCACUCUUUUAUUUAUUUAUUUAUUUUUCAGUUUAUAGAGCCAGUGGAAUGAGAUAGACAGAGUGAGCCACUGUGAAUGCCGUUCCCCUGGUGCUGCUGGUGAGCCUUCUGUCCUGCCCUGUCAUGUGGCUGGUGGAGCAGGUAACCACUGAGCUGCUUCACUGCCAUGGUAUGUGUUUAGUGAGGAUUUUUAGUAUUCACCUCAUGAUCUAUCAGUCUACGUGAAUGUAGGAACACAAAUCCAUGCUUGAUCUCUUCCGAAGCCUGGCUGUAUCUCAGUCUUGUUCAGCAAAGGGGAUGUUUUUCAUUGUGCUUCUCAGACUUGGAAAAAGGGAUUUCCCACAUUCUGAAUGCUAGGGAGCACAGGGAAGCAUGCAGCCAAGACUUGAUUUUAUGUAAAUAAACUGACAUAAAGGAACUUUCCAGGAACUUGAUCCACAUUAAAAGAAAUUCUAAAGGAGAAGUAGGAAAACAAGAUACAAGCUGAACACAGAGGUGAGAGAAAUGCUGUGCAUUUUGCAUCGAUAGGCAGACAUAACCUACCUGAAGCUGGAAAACGCAGAUGUGGAAGUCUGAAUAGAGAUACCAGUGUGUUUCCAAAAUAACUCUGCAGGUAUUCUUGAAAUGUUGCUUAAGCAAAUAAAUGGUUCUAUUCUUGCCAAGUUGGUCCCAUUCUUAUUUACUUUUAGUCUGAAAGGAACAAAAAGGACAUUAUAAAGCUACAGCACCAUUCAAAUGUUGGGAAACAGAAGCUCUUUUUUUUGAAAAAAAAAAUUAUAUUGCAGAGGAAAGGGAAACUUUGCAGCCAUUAAGAUGUCAAAACUACUCCCUGCAUGGAGUAUUUUAUGACCAGAACCCUGAGGAGGCACUUGAGGAAUAUCGUCCAAAUACCACACCCUGAAGGCCUAUUUUUAUUUUUGUGUGGAUUUAGCAUUCUUUAAAAAUAAUUCUUAAAAAAGAUCAGGAAGUAGCUACAGACAUGCUUCCUGAAGGGUCCUCUCUUCAUGGACAACCAAAAAUAUGAGUUAGCAUAAAGCAUAGGUAUUUGACCAUGUGGCUGGACUUGCAGCCUUGUGAUCAUUUCUCAGCCAGGAAGCUCCCUGGGCAUGCUACUGCAUGUGGCACUGCUGCCUAAUGGGGCUCAGGUCUGGCAUUAAAACUCCAUGACAAGUCUAUUCUAGGCUAACAGUUUAAAGACAAAUAGAGAAAUCUGUUUUUGAAUAGAUUUUAAGCAAUAAUUUGAAUUUGCGAAUGCAGGUUGCUGAUACAAGUAUUAAUUUCAGCUGGAGUGAGCGUGUGUACAGCUUCAAAGUAUCCUUUACUUGGAAUUGUCUGUGAGUCGAUAAGUUAGCAAAAAAUUCAUACCCGAAGUGCUCAUCAAUUUCCUUCCUGCAAAGCAGGUGAUGUUGGUUUGUAUUGAGACUCUUUGGGUACAGGAGAUUUUGGAGAGGUCUGUGAGGCCUCACAUGGAGGGGAGGUGGUAGGUGGGGUAGUCCUUUAAUUGGAAGAGACAUUAAGCAAGGAGGCAUGACAUGAAAGUAGUGGGUCUGAAGCUUUUUUGCAUGACAUGUAUUUGAGCUGUGGAUGUUCACAGGUUGUCAGAGCAGACUGCCCAAGGUCAUGGGUGAGAGAGCCCCUGAGGGUUUUUAAGAAGACAUCCCCAAACUGCAGGUGCUUAAGGGCCCACCUAGAUAAAGACUUGCAUUUUUAUUCUGUUGUUACCUCUUGCCCAGGGACCUGCUUCUGACCAUUGCUGGAGACAGAGUCCUGUCCCACUGUGGCCAGUGCUUCUGUAACUUCAACUUCUGCACAAUAUCAUGAGGAAAUGGAGAAGCUGCUCUUCUUGUUCUGCUUGUCUUGGACAGCAGAGCCUUGGUCUCACACAGGUUUGUUGCCAGUAUUCUUUUUCUUCAGGUCUCAGUCCCGUCCCGUCCCGUCCCCCCCCCCCCCAAAAAAAAUAAUCCUUUAAUUCAUAACUUCUUUGCUGUAUUAAAAUUGCAUAAAGCUUUGUGGAUGGCAAAGUCCUCUUUCAACAGCACUUGUGAAACUGAUUUAUGCUUAGUAGGAAGGUGUUUUUAUUGUAGAGCUUCUGUACAAUUUGAGUGAACUUUCAGUAGAAAUCCUGGAGCUUUGAGUGGAUUUCCUGAAAAUAUUAAAUAAAGACCUCUCUUGGAUAUUGGCAGUGAAACUUAAGGUAGGAAAGAUGGAUCUAAAAUGCAAGAAAGGUUUGAAUAUGUAGCAGUGUUUGGAGUUAAGUUUAAAAAUUAAUUUACAGUUUAAAGAAGGUAGAGCCAAGAAAGUGUAACCUUAUAAAAAGCCUCUUCAUUAAUAAAAAAAAAAAAAAAAAAAAAGUAAAAAAUCAGAUAAGACAACCAAUCUGAUUUUUUUCACUGCAUUGGUGUGGGGCAGUCUACUACACUGUAUGUUUUUUAUGUAUUUUUUUACUUAAGAGAAGUAAGGAAGUUCAUGCAGUUCUUAAGCAAUACAAGCCCCUAGGUCUAUAGAAAUUAAUGUAUUAAUGCGAGAAGUGAUAAAUACAUAAAAUAUAUAGCCUGAGUGUGCAUAUAUAAGGAAAGUCCUGUUGACAAAGUAUAUCCAGUGCCCCUGAGGCUGGAGGUCUGCAGUAAGCAAAGCUCGUGUUUUGUGCUGGAGAUUCCAUUAGAGAGAAUUAUUUGAUUUCCUUACAUAAUGGGAGCUGAAUGCUAUAUGCAAAGGAGAACUGCAGCUUUCUGUUCAUGCAAAAGGAGUUGGUCUCAUAACGCUGAAAAUAUUUCACUUCACAAAAACUUUAGAGAAGCGUAUCUUUGUGUGUAUUAUAACUCAUACAUAGAUACCGGUACAGUGUAAUUACUUUUACUUUAUAAAGACGAGUUGAGUUUUAUCUUUCCUAUAUACAAAACUACUGCUUCUGCUGUUUUGUUUUUUGAUGUUUUUCUUCAAGAUGAAGUUUUUAUGUGCAGCAUGCUAUAUUGUAGCGCAACUCAUUUACUUUAAAGGCAAGCCAAGGGAGCUCUUCUAGACUGAAUGCCUUCCACAGAAUAAUUGCCUAUGAAAAAGUUUAUAGGAAACGUUACUGGAUUUUUAAUCUUUUCUCUUAAGUGUCCAAGAAGAGAUAAGAGGAGUGUUUAUUGCUAAACAUAAGAAUGUUUUCCUUUCAAUAAUGAAGUUUGCAGAUCCAAAAUAUCUACUGCAGAAAACUGGGUUGGUUUUCAUUUUUUUUUAUGGUGGAAGAAAUAAAACUUUUUUUUUUUUUUUUAGUGGAGCCAAGUGGUUGUAUUCAAAGUACAGUUUUAAGCCUUCAUGCAUAAGAAAUGAAUAUUAUUGCAGUUAAAAAAAAAAGUAUAAGGCAGUGGAACUGAGUAAGUGAGUGACCAACGUGGCAUAUCACGCUCUACUAUUAAGUAGAAAAAUAGCAUUUAGUGUCUUUUUUUCAUUCCAGUUGCUAAGUUCUAAGGAAUAGUGAAAAAGAUUGGUAUUGUCAGAGUUAAGCAGAUCCUCUGCUGUCUUUCAUUGUCUGCAGUAUAAGGCUGAUUGCCCAACAAACUUGUCUGCUCUCAUUUGCCAUGUUUUGUCAUCCAAAGCACCAAGAAUUAUUCAUAAGGCCAGUAAUAGAAACUCCUAGAGUUCCCCUCCCCAACUUGUUUACUUUUCUAUUUCCUUGUCAUCAGCUUCUAGAUGAGUUUGGUAUAUUAUUUUUUAAUUUCACUGUACUGAUUUCUGCGUGUGUUGCCUGGUAGAAUGUUUCAUGUUACAAGUGGAGCACUGAGACAUGGCAUUUCUCUGUACUUUCUGCCAAUGUCUUUCUUGAAGCCAGUAUUUUCCUAAAUGCCUGUGGUCCACUGGUAAAGCGAUUACAGAGAUGCCUGCAGUCCUUCCUGACCACUUUAUUAAACAUUUCACUUUUUCAAGAACCUGGAAACUGGUUGUAGAUACAGAGCUUCUUUCUGUGUUCCCACCUGGCUUUAGUUCAGCAUGUUGGUAGCUUCUGUAUAAAGUGAAUUCUGAUAAAGAGAAUAUUCAUCCUUUUCAGCCAGCUUUCCAACCUCCUAAGUUUUGAAUUAUGAAUAUUUUUCUUUGUACUAAAGUGUUGUGGGAAGGGAGAAAACACUCCAACAUCCAACCAGUAGCACUGGCAAUAUAAAUGGUACUUAAGUGUGAAGUAUGGUUUCUGCAUGGAAUGCUUUUCCAUACUCCAGUUCCUCUUUGUCUCCAUCCCUCCUUCAAUUCAGAAAAAAAUGUAGUCAAACCAAAUGCCAAAGAAAAACUUUCCUUAGCUUUUAAGACUGAAAAUAGCUUCAGGACUGUAGGAAGACUUGUAUAGGUACUAGAUGAACUGCUUUGCACUCUGUCAAGCCUGUACUUACCUCUCAGGAAAUUAUUUGAAGAACCAUUAUAACAGUUUGAACUGAACUGCUGCCUUCUACAAGCUAGAGUGCAUUAUGCUUUGACUAAACCAUAACACAAGAAACUCAAAGAAAGCAUUCUGUAACAUUUACUGAUACUCAGUGCUCAUUUUCUUUAGAGGUUAGGGCUAUUAAUUAGAGAAGGCUAUUCAUCUCAAAUUCACUAAACUUGAACCAAGAAUAACAGUAAGGAAGAAAAUGCUUCUAAUUUGUUAGUAAUUUUUGAGAAUUCCCACAACAUCAUGACCUUGAUUUAAUUAAUGACCUUAAUUUAAUUAACUUGGUGGUUACUUAAGGCUGUCUGCAAGAAUAAAAAAAUAUUAAUUUUAAUUUUCACACAAUAAAAAUAUCACUAUGUAUGAAAAAUAAAAUAAGGACAUCUGUUUUGGGCCCACACCUCCAAAUUGCUGCUUUUUUGCACAUCUGUUUUGUGUUGCACAUCUGACUUGUUUCUUCUUAAAAAUUACCUUUCUCAAUUUAUUUCCAUAGUAUAUCUGUUCUAUAAAUGGUCUUCCAUAAUUUUCUGGGGAAGUCAAAGUAUUUAACCUAGUUAAUAAAAGCAUGAGCAAACUGGGACAGUGGAACAAAAAAAAUGCUUUGCCUUAUGUACAUGCUUUUUCCCUGGUGAGAAGCCGAAGACAUAAUAGUGCCUUUAUACUGUCUGCCAUCCUGUGGCCAACACAGAAUUUUACAGAUGCUUACUAAAGAAAGGAAGGGAUCAUGACAUUAGAAAUAAAGGUAGACAUAAUAGUUUCAAAAAUACUUAAGCUUGAUAGUUAAGGUACAAUUUUAGAAUUCAAGUCUGGUAAUAUUCACCUAUGAACACUGUCCAUUUAGAUGCAUGUGCCUUAAGAAAAGAAAAAGAAAACCAUGAAAAAUGCCUGCAUAACCACGUUUUUAGGUAGUAGUUGCAAAGCAUAGUCUGAAAGAGGAUGAAGUAGUGUCCGCUCAUACAGCAGUACUUGUAUAGCCUUUCAUCUAAGUGCGUCAAAGUAUUUUGCAACUAGAUGGGAAAAUUGAAGCUCAGGAUAAAAUGAUUUGUUCAUCCUGUUUGGCACCAGCUCUGGGAAGAGGCUGCAGUGUCUCAGCUUGCAGCCUUGGCUCUGACCUCCAGCUGAGUGACUCAGUGGCCAGGCGAGCAUCCACAACACAUCCGUGCCUUCCCAGCAGCCCCUCUCCAGCCUGGGAUGACGGGAGGGGGCUGGUGGGAUGGGACAUGCUUCAAAUACCAGACACAGCUCUCAGCCAGCUCAAUGCACAAAGCAGAAAGCAAGAGAAACUUUCCCAACAUGCUGAUGUCUAGUGCGGGAUCUCUUCCCCGGACCAGCUCUGCGUCUUUCUAAAAAUGUUUCCUGGUAAGAAACCAAAAUCUCUGGACCAUUGGAGCCAAGAGCAAGGCCAGACAACGCAAUGCUGUGUGAGCAUCUCUUCCCUUUCCUCAUCUUAUAUGUGGGGAACACUCCAAAUCCAUGGCACCAAAUCUCUACUGCACCUGGCGUUAAUGCAUUCGUUUGGCACUCAGAUGAACUGUUAGUACUUCUGACUUACACCUUUGUUUGAAUAAUAAUAAUAUAAGGACUUAAUAUAGUUAAUAUACAACAGAUAAAAUAAAUUGUCUAUUAUUUUCCUAGAUGUUGGUUGGAUUUACCUUUUCAGAUGGCAUAUGUGCCAAAAGAAAAAAAAAAAAAAGUUAAAUGGAAACUUGCUACAUUUCAGUGAGUAAACUAACUGGUUAUGUGGUGUGUAGGCUACAGGGGAAAAGACAAAAUGGAGAAAUUAUUUACAUCAACCUUAAAACUGACUCAUUCCAUCAAGCCAUAAAAGGAAAUAUCACCAACACAAAUGCCAGAAUAGUCGGUGUGUUUGGAUCCAGAUCUCCUCGGCCUAGCUUCCUAAGAAUCCAAGCUCAUGGACCUGCCUGACUUUAGUUCCAAUCCAAUACCCAGUGGCUUAAAAGCAGAAUCCUGUCUGGAGAACACUUCUGCUGGGUGUUGUGUGACUGUCCCAAAGACUGCCCCACACUGGAGGAGUCUAAAACCCUACAGAGGCUUCCCUGCUCAGCCUAAUGCUCCCCUUGGCUUUGCAAGAGCCUUGUGCGUGUUGCCACCGGCACUACAGUCAGCAGGCACUGCACAUCAAGCUCCAGCAUGGGGCUAGUUGUCCACAACUUGGCUCCUCCGCCUGACUGGAAGCAUUGCUGUCACAGCUCAAGUAGUUGUUUCCUGUCUAAAUAAAUUUUUACACAAUCGGGGCCUCGGGUUCCAGUUUUUACAGCAGCAGAAGUUACGUACUCAAGGGCUGAAGAAAGAGUAAUCAAAUUUGUCAUGUUUUCACUCUUCUGCUUAGCCAGAGUGGGGAUGAGAAUCCAAGCAAAACAAUUGGCAGCCUCAAGGGACCUUUAGAUUUGGCUCUGAGCACUCCAUAAGCGUCCAUUUUGCCAGCAUGCCUGAGCUGGAAAUAGCAAACCUGGACAUGACAGCUGAGGAAAAUAAGAGCAGGUUAGGAAGCACUAAUGACUGACUGCAGUUCAUUUUUAAACAGCCCCCAUACCUGAGAGAACCAAGUAAUGAGGUUUGGCUAGAGUAACAUCAACAUACGUAGGGCUUUAAUUCCUCCUCAGGUAGUGGGGGCUCCCAGGAAGGCAGCGUGACAUGGGGCAGGCUGUGUGGGCACACACCACUCAAGUCCUGCCCCUUAUGUCAGGAUGACAUCCAAGUGUCUUUGUGCCAUGUCUGAAGAGACAGUGACCGUAAUGGGCACGGGGAGGACAGCUAACUACCGAAUGCCUCAGGAAGGCACCACUUUUGCCAGGGAGGCAGGGCCUCCCUCAGCAGCACGGCAUGGAUCCAGAACCUGAGCUCAAGUCCUGAGGUAAUGUUUCAACAGUCAGCUUUUCUAAUGAGAUCCAGGGGGCAUCGUGCCUCUUGCCAGCUCUUCAUUAGUGAGCUGACUGUGCUGCAAAUACACAAAGCCCAUCAACUCUGUACAGUCAGCAAUUGCUGCUGGGCCUGCUGCUGAUUUACAGAGAUCAGCUGUUCUGGGUUAGGCAUCCACAUAUGGGAGUUUGUAAGGAACUUCCUUGAAGUAAGCCCUAAAGUAAGUUACAUGUCUAUUGGAGAAUGUUUAAAAAUAAAACCAUAUGAAGAAGCAUGCAAAAAUGAGGGCUGGAAUUGGAAAGCCAGCUCUGUUUCUGUUUUGCCAUAUCUCACUGUGAGCAUCUGUAGGAAGAAGUGUCUACUAAAAGCGAGUUACUGUUUCAAGGGUGAAAAAAAUGGAUGUUAUUCCAAAAUUUGCAUAAAUAUUUUUAUUAAUAUUUACUAUUAUUUUUAUUAUUUUCUAUAGUUUGAAUUCUUGGCUUUUACUCUUCUAGGAAAAAGGCCAUGUUCAUCAAGGAUCAAUUCAAUCAGUUUGAUACAACUGAGCACUAUGAAUUGCAUGCUGUAUUACAUCCCUUUAUACCUCCUCUCCUUACACUAUUUUUGCUAAACUUAUCCUGGUAUUAAAGGUGAUGAUCCAGUGAAGAUCCAUCAGUCAGUAAUCCACACUCUGCUGUUUUGUUGUUCUGCUGUUUUGUUGUUUCUCCUUUUUUUUUUUUUUUUUUUUUUUUAAUGGAAGUCCUACUUUUGUAUUUCCUCUGCUAUGAGGCAUCCCACGUUUGAUACUGUGCCAGUUCCAUGGGUAUUUUUAGAUGGAGAUUCCUUGUGUGAACACAUAAAUUUCAGUCCUGGAUAAACCUUCAAUGUGGUGUAAUUUUGAUUUCUAUAGUCUCAGUUCUUUAACCAACCACAUUUUUUUCCCCUUAUGCUACUUUAUCAUCUGCACUGAAAAUGUAGGCGUUUCAUUUCAUACUAGGGCAUAAAUUCAUUAAAAUGUAUAUCAUCUGU